GACGGAGGUCCCGAGCGUUGUUCGGAAUUAUUGGGCUUAAAGCGCGUGUAGGCGGAACGGUAAGUACCUUGUGAAAUCCCCGGACUCAAUCCGGGAACUGCUCGGUAUACUACCGAUCUAGAGGCAGGUAGGGGUCACUGGAACCUUAGGUGGAGCGGUGAAAUGCGUAGAUAUCUAAGGGAACGCCUGUGGCGAAAGCGGGUGACUGGGCCUGUUCUGACGCUGAGACGCGAAAGCGUAGGGAGCAAACGGG
rnacentral:rRNA from 1 species